GAAGUGAAGAGUGUGCCAUCUUUUUCACUUUACAAAAAGUGAAAGGUUCAAUAUAAAUUGGCACUAUUAUAAAUUAACCUUGUUACACCCCAUGACUGUCAGUAAGAAAAUCAGUCAUGUUACUUCCUGGUUCCAGGAACCAAUUGCCUAGAGAUCUUGUCUUCUAAAGACUUCUCAUUGAGCUGCAUUAGCAAGUUUGUGAUUGGACAGACACAGAAAGUCUGGGUGUGGUUAGAAGGGGAGGGUUUGCAAAAGGUUCAGACAAAAGAUCUGCUAAUUGUGCAAGCUGUUUUUAAAUAUAUCUACUAAACAGUGUUUAUUUUCUUACAUUUUGGCAGUGGAGUGUCUUUUUAAGUUUAAUAAAAUAUAACUUUCGAAACAGUUGCCAAGCCCGAAACCAAACCAAAGAUAAUAUGAGUUUUAUUUACAAG